AGUGAACGCUGGCGGCAGGCCUAAUACAUGCAAGUCGAACGGCAGCACGGCAGAGCUUGCUCUGUGGGUGGCGAGUGGCGGACGGGUGAGGAAUACAUGGGAAUCUGCCCAGUCGUGGGGGAUAACGUAGGGAAACUUACGCUAAUACCGCAUGCGCCCUUCGGGGGAAAGCCGGGGACCUUCGGGCCUGGCGCGAUUGGAUGAGCCCAUGUCGGAUUAGCUAGUUGGCGGGGUAAUGGCCCACCAAGGCGACGAUCCGUAGCUGGUCUGAGAGGAUGAUCAGCCACACUGGAACUGAGACACGGUCCAGACUCCUACGGGAGGCAGCAGUAGGGAAUAUUGGACAAUGGGCGCAAGCCUGAUCCAGCCAUGCCGCGUGAGUGAAGAAGGCCCUCGGGUUGUAAAGCUCUUUUGUCCGGAAAGAAAAGCGCCGGGUUAAUACCCUGGUGUCCUGACGGUACCGGAAGAAUAAGCACCGGCUAACUUCGUGCCAGCA
rnacentral:rRNA from 1 species